rnacentral:lncRNA from 1 species
GCAGUGUUGGGGCUGCUGGGUAAUAAGAUACACUGGCUUCGGAAUAACUUGCUGGACAAUGUGACGGUGUGUGAGAGAGAGAUCAUCUUGGUAUUCCAUGAUAUGUGGUAAUAAUCCAUCACUGCAGUUGAUUGCCAGCUAUCGUCAUUCAUCACAUACGCAAAUGCAGAAUAUAAUCAUUGGUGGUCUUCCUGUCUGGGUUGGCGCCCCCCCCUUGGGUUGUGCCAUGGCGGAGAUCGUUGUGGGCUAUACUCGGCCUUGUCUUAGGACGGUAAGUUGGUGGUUGGAGACAUCCCUCUAGUGGUGUGGGGGCUGUGCUUUGGCAAAGUGGGUGGGGUUAUAUCCUGCCUGUUUGGCCCUGUCCGGGGGUAUCAUCGGAUGGGGCCACAGUGUCUUCUGAUCCCUCCUGUCUCAGCCUCCAGUAUUUAUGCUGCAGUAGUUUAUGUGUCGGGGGGCUAGGGUCAGUCUGUUACAUCUGGAGUAUUUCUCUUGUCUUAUCCGGUGUCCUGUGUGAAUUUAAAUAUGAUCUCUCUAAUUCUCUCUUUCUCUCUUUCUGUCUUUCUCUCGGAGGACCUGAGCCCUAGGACCAUGCCUCAGGACUACCUGGUAUGAUGACUCCUUGCUGUCCCCAGUCCACCUGGCCGUGCUGCUGCUCCAGUUUCAACUGUUCUGCCUGCGGCUAUGGAACCCUGACCUGUUCACCGGACGUGCUUGUUGCACCCUCGACAACUACUAUGAUUAUUAUUAUUUGACCAUGCUGGUCAUUUAUGAACAUUUUAACAUUUUAACAUCUUGACCAUGUUCUGUUAUAAUAUCCACCCUGCACAGCCAGAAGAGGACUGGCCACCCCUCAUAGCCUGGUUCCUCUCUAGGUUUCUUCCUAGGUUUUUGGCCUUUCUAUGGAGUUUUUCCUAGGGAGUUUUUCCUAGCCACCGUGCUUCUUUCACAUGCUUUGCUUGCUGUUUGGGGUUUUAGGCUGGGUUUCUGUACAGCACUUUGAGAUAUCAGCUGAUGUACGAAGGGCUAUAUAAAAAUGCA